UAGGGAAUCUUCCGCAAUGGGCGAAAGCCUGCCGGAGCAACGCCGCGUGAGUGAUGAAGGUCUUCGGAUCGUAAAACUCUGUUAUUAGGGAAGAACAAAUGUGUAAGUAACUAUGCACGUCUUGACGGUACCUAAUCAGAAAGCCACGGCUAACUACGUGCCAGCAGCCGCGGUAAUACGGAGGUGGCAAGCGUUAUCCGGAAUUAUUGGGCGUAAAGCGCGCGUAGGCGGUUUUUUAAGUCUGAUGUGAAAGCCCACGGCUCAACCGUGGAGGGACAUUGGAAACUGGGAAACUUGAGUGCAGAAGAGGAAAGUGGAAUUCCACGUGUAGCGGUGAAAUGCGCAGAGAUAUGGAGGAACACCAGUGGCGAAGGCGACUUUCUGGUCUGUAACUGACGCUGAUGUGCGAAAGCGUGGGGAUCAAACAGG
rnacentral:rRNA from 1 species